UUUUUUUUUCCUGUUUCCAUCAACCCAAGCAAAGUAGAGGCACGGCUGAUCAUCAUUUGGAGUCCAGGGCUCAAGGGUGCUAAUGAUGACGGUGGUGGUGAUGGUGCAGGCCAAGCAUUGUUACAGUGACAUCUGGUAUCAAGACUGAAAAGGAGCAAGAUGACCCGACAAGAAGAAGUCUCUGUUUUCACAAAGACAGUUUGCUUCCCUUGACGACUUUGUGUUAUUUCUCUGUUCCUGUCAGUCUGUUGUUAGAUUAACCUCUCCCCUGAUGAUUGAAUGCCAUGAUCACAGGCAAGACAAAUGCUUGAUGGUUUGGUUGAUUGUCAUAUACGUGACACAAACCUUGUUUGCCUUUCCAGAAACUGAUUUUUACAAUCCCUGUAAGUCUAGGUAAUAUUGAGAGAGAUUUCUCAGCCCAGUCCUUUACCUUCCUACCAAGCCAUUAGGGUUUCUAAUAUUUCACAUUUUCACUCUGACAUGUACUUUUCCACCAUGCUUGGGAAGGAAAUGCCCCAGCACAGAAAUAGGAAGGGAGCCUUGUGACUCCUGAACCCAUUCUCAACCUCAGUUCUUAUCUGAAAUUGGAUCCAACUUUAGAAUUUUGAAGCUCAGCUGGGAAAAUGUGGGAUAAGCAUUACAAAUUCUCCAUCCAGAGUCCAUUUUCAUCAAAGGCUGCCGAAAUGAAGCUAUUGUUAGUUAAUGUCCGGAUGAAUCGGAUGGACAGGGCUCUGCAUUAUAUAAAUGGGGACAGAAUGUCAAGGGGGGCAUUUAGUUGGAAGAACUUUUUUCCCAUCCCCCCCUUCUCCUUCUUGACUUAUACACACAGCCCUUAUUUCCACACCCUGUUACUUGCAUGUUUAUCUGGGAGGAAGAGUUGCUGAAACCUUGAGUAGGGCCACUCACUGCAUGAUUCACUUUGCUGUACACCUGUAACUAAUACAACAUGGUAAGUCCACUAUACUCCAAUAAAGUUAAAUUUUUAAAAGACAGAGAAAGAGAAAAAGCCUGUGUAGCUGGAAGCACCGUGUCUUCUGCUUGCUGCAGCUGACUGAGGAGACCCAGUCUUCAAGGGUGAAUUGCGGAGGGGGGUCUUCUUACCCACUUUCCCAAAUCUAUGUGGGAAUCAGGACAGGCAGGCCCUUCCUGUUAGCAAGAAGCCCUUUGGCCUGUUUUUGGCCAAAUGCUCCAGUUCACACGCUCCAGUUGAAUUGAACCAAAGAUACCUCGCUCAGGGCAGAUGGAGAUGCUAUAAAUGGGAGUUUGCUCAUGUACUAAUAAACCUGCUUAUGACUCCCACACCACUGAUCCUUCCAUAUAUAAUUCCAUCAGAGGGAAAGGUCCGUCUUAGGAUUCAGGUACCAAAUUUUCUACCUUGAAUCUAUCAGAAUUUUCCCACAGCCAUUGCAUAUUUAUUAAAAAUCACUUUGUGGUUCUCAAGUCCUAUGUGGUUCCUUCCUCUGCUCUUAAGUAAAAUCCACACUGUACAUCUUAAAAAGUCUAAGAGGUUUUCUAUCACUUGAGGAGUAGGCUUGUAAAUGCAGCAUGUGGCCUAUUUUCACUUAAGAAUAUCACUUGUGGUUGGAUGCAUCAUUUCCAAAUGAUCUGUACAAGCUUUAGUUUGAGACUUGGGGUGAGCCUAUAAGAAGGUGGUAUAUUUGAGACUUCAUUUAGGAGUUCACCAUCCCUACCAAUUUAGCCCUGGGGUCAUCUACUCCAUCAGUGAGAAGUUUCCAAAGUGUUAGGAUCUCAGAGGUGAUCAGGUCUAUAGCCCACCUUACUCAGGAAUCCCUCCCACUCCAUCCCUGAUAGCUGGGGUUACAAGCAUCCACACACACUUCCAUACAAGGGGUGCACAAAGGGUAUCCACAUAAUCUGUAAAGUGAUGGGGGGUUUUAAAUGCCUGAAGGAAAUACAGCAAAAUUGAAACUCUGAAAGAAUUAUGGGUGGGAACAUGGUUAUUCAAGAUUUGAUAUAUUUGAGAUGAUAUAGUAUUUCAUGAAUGCCUGAACUAUUUCAUGAGAGAAAAGAUUUUAGUUGCUGAUUAUAAAAACAAAACACAAAAUUAAGCUAAUAUUUCUAGUAAUUACCUUAAAUUGCAGCUCUAUAGGCCCAGAGUAAAAAUGCGUUCCAUGCUAUGUCCCUUGAAUUAAGGGAAUUCCAUAAUUUCUCAUUAUUUACACCAAGAGCAUCACACAGUACACUGGUCCCUCAGUUAUCUGCAGGAGGUUGGUUCCAGGGCUCCUUCUUCUCUUUGAAUGCCAAAAUGCAAGUAUGCUCAAGUCCCUUAUAGAAAAUGGUGCAGUAUUUGCAUAUAACCUGACAUCCUCUUGUAUACUUUAAAUCAGCUCCACAUUACUUAUAAUAGCUAAUACAAUGUAAAUGUUAUGUAAAUAGUUGUAAAUGCUAUGCAAAUAGUUGCCACAUGGCAAAUUCACAUUUUACUUUGUGGAACUUUUGGGAAUUUUUUUUCUGAGUAUUUUCCAUCCAUGGUUGGUUGAGUCUGUGGAUGGGGAUUCCGGCAGAAAUAGAGGGUUAACUGUAUCUAGCUGCAUGACACGGUUUCUAUUCAUCAUGAGUAUGUACAGUUUUUAAAAAUAGCUCUUGGUUUUUCCCCCUAAGAGACCCGCAUCUAAACUAGCCCAGAUAGGAGUUCCCUGGUGGCCUAGUGGUUAAGGAUCUGCUGUCUUCACUGCUGUGGCUCAGCUUCGAUCUCUGGCCCAGGAACUUCUCAUGCCAUGAGUGUGGCCAAAAAAUAAAUAAGCAAAAUAAAAUAGCUCAGAUUAAUGGCAAUCUCUGCCUCCGGAAAGGCCAUCAAACAAAACAGAGCUCACCUUCAGCAGGUGGCAUGUGAGUGUUCAUGGUUCCCAGGGCCAACAGCUCCUUCUACUCCUCUUGUUCCAGUUAAGGGAAUAACUGAGCUCUAUUCUCUGUAGAAGCAAUAUUUCAUGUACCAAGAAGAUUAUUUAAAAGGUUAUCUCAUUCUCCAAAUAUUGCUUUCUACAAGAUAAAGAGUCAACAGUAGAUCCAACUAAAGGAGGAGGCUUGAAUGGAAUGUGUGAGUGUAUUGAUUAUUUUAAGAAAUGAUUCUGAUUGAUAAACAAACCCGUGGUUCUUUUUUCCCUCAUGCUCCUGUCCUAGCUUUCCUGCCAUCCAAACCACAUCAUCCCAACACCAACCUACUCUGCUAAGUGUAAUGGUUAUCAGGCUAAACUGUUGGUUUUGUGUGAAACCCAUCACACACCAUUCUAUCGAUUUAACCAAGUAAGUUGCUUUGUUUUCCUGAUGAGCUGAACCUGGGUCUUUUUCACCUUCAUGUGUCCAAGCCCUGUGCCAGGUAGAGUAGAUGUUCCAUAUACAUUCAAUAGUUGAAAAAAAAAAAAUGAAUGGACAGAUCAAUGAAUCAGAAACACCUAAAUGCCACCACUCUAUUCAUUAAAAGUGCCUAAAUAAUACCAUUGGAUUGUGUUCAAACCAAUCAGAUUAUCAUUAUUUUACAGCUACCCAUGCUGAGCGCUUCACCCUAGGCUUGUUGCUUUUCCUACCCUCUGUCCUUCAGCUCCCAAUUCUCAUAUGAGAGAACUCAGGCUAAGAAAAGAGGAUUAGGAGAGGCUAAAAGAACAAAUCUAACAUCCCCAGCCUUUAGUGUCAUCCUAAUCUUGCCCUCCCUGCCUUUUAACCAUUUAGCUCCUUCAGUCAUGCAGGUUUCUGUGGUCCUCUUGGGCAGCAUUCACCACCUCAAGACUGAGGAGGUCAGUCAGCUGACUUUGCACUAAAUCUGCCUUCUCUGUCUCUUUGUCCUGGGCCAAGGCAUGUGUAUUCUGGUUCCCAUGUGCCACCUGGUGGUCUCCCCAGUCACUGCCUCCCCAGUGCCUCAGAAAUGCCAUGCUGUGCCUGGAGAAAGGGAGGAGCUCACGGGGACCCAGGGAUGGAGUCUGGCAUGUGAACUGGUUCAUUCUUGCUGCGUGUCACCAGUGGGGAUGAGGCAGCGGAGGCCUGGAAGACAGAAGUCUCCUCCACGGCCAUAAUCCAUGGGUAGGAUUCCCUAGUCCUUCUCAAAACAGUCUUUAACCAUGUGGCCUUCAAACACCCACAAAAGGAUGCUCGAAGAAAGAAAGCAUGAAAAAUCUCUGUACUUAUCAUACAUGCAUGUAUGGGAUGAAACAGAUAAAUUGAGAAGGGGUUAUUUGGAUAUUUGGGCAAACCUAUGCCAAUCUCUCUAGAAUAAAAUAAAGGGCGGAGGGAGGGAAGAGUAGAAAGAUGAAAGAAGACAAAAACCUGUGAUUAUCCAAAAAGAUCACUUAAUAUACAUUUAAUUAUUUCUAAACACUCUGUAAUCUGAAAAUGUUGAGGAUUUACUUUUUACUUUUAUUUCUGGAAUUUUAUAUGAAAGUAAUAAACC
ensembl:lncRNA